GAGGAGCUUCAACACUGAAGAGAAUCCAGACUUUCCUCAGAUUGGAGGCUGAUUAAAGAACCAUGUCAAGCUGCCAACGUUUUCUGGGUAACACUACUAAGAGAGCAUGCAUCUGGGAAAAUGAAAAAGGAUGUGAGAGACUCUGAAGACGACAGGGAGCUUCUGUCAUUUUACAAACAACAGGAAUGGACACAUCUAAGGUCUGGUUCCUUCAUCGGCUUCACCUCCUCRUCUUUGGGCUUGGCCUGCAGGAAAACAAAUCACCCGUCACUUACAGAAAACAGGUCAUUCAUCAGCUGCAAGUGCUGAACAGAAAUCAAUCCAGGAAUCAUUAAAAACAGGACCAGAAGGUUGAAACCACCAUGGAUGGGCACCCCAUAUUGUCCAUAUAAGCUCCACCCCUCCUUAUAAACAACUGGGUCAACGUCCUUUUUUCGGCAAUCGUCUUUUUUGACACGGUGGCCCCCCUCGACAGCUGCCUCACAAUGACGUCCUCUCGGAUCCACGGCACACUUUUCAGGCAUUUUGUUCAUGGUUGUCCACAAUUUUCCGAAACCAAGCAUUGACAUUAAAACUCGCCUUCAUCAACAAGGUCCCCCUCUCCCCCUCUCCCAACUUCUGUAUAUGGGCGGAGUCAGCAUUUCAGCAUCCAAUCAAAACGUUCAUUUCAUGCAUGAUUUGCGUGAUGACGUCAAUUGGUAAAAGGUCCAUUCUGACCCCCGCACACGAAGCGUUAAGCAGGAGUCAUAUUGUUUUCUYACUGUUUUUUUUCAGUGAUUUUUGGUCAACCGUA